CUCAAGUUUAAACUUUUGGUUAGCCAUAGCUUUUCUAGCAUUCUCGUUUCUUUUCACUGUAUGAGUACAAUUUUUUACAAAUUCCAAAUUAAAUUCCAAUUUCACAUUUCAGAUAUACUAAUAAAUUAUGCUUCCACCUCCGUCACCCUUGUGAUCUCCCUCUAUUGCUUUCAAAAAGGGAAGAAUAUGUUUCGUGAUAUCAAUUUUGCUUAGCAAUUCGGUCACGAAAGAUGAGCGUCUGCAGGAGGGUGUGGUCGCUUAGCAGAUUUAUGAAAUUUAUCUGUUCGUGUACUUUCGGGAGAGGUUUUUUCAUUCCAAUAAUUCCUUCAACACAAUGAUUUACCCUUCUGGAUGUGCAGAUGAUUUGCAUUAUAACUUGUUAUAAUUUAUGCCUUUAAAUUGUAAUCAUUCCUCUUCAAAUGGUGAGCACAAAAAAUGUGAUGACUAUGUAGAGGGAAUCUUCAAAAAGUGAGAAAAAGAAUUUUGAGGCACCUUUAAUUCUCUAGAUCAUUAUUAUCUUGCAAAUUGAAGUUCAUGGGAAGUUGGUGGUUCAGUAUAAUUAAUGACAGCAAAUGUCAUGCAAUUUUUUUGAACUACUAGAGAAUGCAAUGCAUAAAAUCAAGAUGAUUUUCAUUAUGCUAGGAAUUAAAUUGACAAAUACCAUGACAAUGUAAUCUGGAGUGGGUCUGCAUUCCUCAAUCAUUAUGUGAAACAAUAAACCUAGGACUUUGGAAGCUAAAAAUUCUUGCUCGAGCCACAACAAGCCCGCUCAAGCUAGCCAACAAAAUCCAGAUUCUUAGAGAUAAUGAGGGUUUUGGGUCUUCAAGUGUUUUUAGAGAAGCUAGGUGUGGCUUUUCUGUUAAGCUCUUUAGCCAUUCUUUGAGAGGCACGCAGAUUGAGACUUUCUUUGGCUUCUUAA